AGUGAACGCUGGCGGUAGGCCUAACACAUGCAAGUCGAACGGCAGCACAGUAAGAGCUUGCUCUUACGGUUGGCGAGUGGCGGACGGGUGAGGAAUACAUCGGAAUCUACUUUUUCGUGGGGAUAACGUAGGGAAACUUACGCUAAUACCGCAUACGACCUACGGGUGAAAGCAGGGGAUCUUCGUACCUUGCGCGAUUGAAUGAGCCGAUGUCGGAUUAGCUAGUUGGCGGGGUAAAGGCCCACCAAGGCGACGAUCCGUAGCUGGUCUGAGAGGAUGAUCAGCCACACUGGAACUGAGACACGGUCCAGACUCCUACGGGAGGCAGCAGUGGGGAAUAUUGGACAAUGGGCGCAAGCCUGAUCCAGCCAUACCGCGUGGGUGAAGAAGGCCUUCGGGUUGUAAAGCCCUUUUGUUGGGAAAGAAAUCCAGCCGGCUAAUACCUGGUUGGGAUGACGGUACCCAAAGAAUAAGCACCGGCUAACUUCGUG
rnacentral:rRNA from 1 species